rnacentral:rRNA from 1 species
GAUGAACGCUAGCUACAGGCUUAACACAUGCAAGUCGAGGGGAAACGGCAUUGAGUGCUUGCACUCUUUGGACGUCGACCGGCGCACGGGUGAGUAACGCGUAUCCAACCUUCCCAUUACUGUGGGAUAACCUGCCGAAAGGCAGACUAAUACCGCAUAGUCUUCGAUGACGGCAUCAGAUUGAAGUAAAGAUUUAUCGGUAAUGGAUGGGGAUGCGUCUGAUUAGCUUGUUGGCGGGGUAACGGCCCACCAAGGCUACGAUCAGUAGGGGUUCUGAGAGGAAGGUCCCCCACAUUGGAACUGAGACACGGUCCAAACUCCUACGGGAGGCAGCAGUGAGGAAUAUUGGUCAAUGGACGGAAGUCUGAACCAGCCAAGUAGCGUGCAGGAUGACGGCCCUAUGGGUUGUAAACUGCUUUUGUAUGGGGAUAAAGUUAGGGACGUGUCCCUAUUUGCAGGUACCAUACGAAUAAGGACCGGCUAAUUCCGUGCCAGCAGCCGCGGUAAUACGGAAGGUCCAGGCGUUAUCCGGAUUUAUUGGGUUUAAAGGGAGCGUAGGCUGGAGAUUAAGUGUGUUGUGAAAUGUAGACGCUCAACGUCUGAAUUGCAGCGCAUACUGGUUUCCUUGAGUACGCACAACGUUGGCGGAAUUCGUCGUGUAGCGGUGAAAUGCUUAGAUAUGACGAAGAACUCCGAUUGCGAAGGCAGCUGACGGGAGCGCAACUGACGCUUAAGCUCGAAGGUGCGGGUAUCAAGCAGG